UGGGGAAUCUUCCGCAAUGGACGAAAGUCUGACGGAGCAACGCCGCGUGAGUGAAGAAGGUUUUCGGAUCGUAAAACUCUGUCUUUUGGGGCGAACGUGAGUAUGGUGAACAAUCAUAGUCAGUGACGGUACCAAAGGAGGAAGCCACGGCUAACUACGUGCCAGCAGCCGCGGUAAUACGUAGGUGGCAAGCGUUGUCCGGAAUUAUUGGGCGUAAAGAGCGCGUAGGCGGGAUAGUCAGUCUGUUGUAAAGUGCGGGGCUCAACCCCGUGAUGGCAAUGGAAACAGCUAUUCUUGAGUGCAGGAGAGGAAAGUGGAAUUCCCAGUGUAGCGGUGAAAUGCGUAGAUAUUGGGGAGGAACACCAGUGGCGAAGGCGACUUUCUGGACUGUGUCUGACGCUGAGGCGCGAAAGCCAGGGGGAGCGAACGGGGAUUAGAUACCCCCGGUAGUCCUGGCCGUAAACGAUGGGGUACUAGGUGUGGGAGGUAUCGACCCCCUUUCCGUGCCGGAGUUAACGCAAUAAGUACCCCCGCCUGGGGGAGUACGGUCGCAAGACUGAAACUCAAAUGAAUUGACGGGGGUCAUAGCUGUUUUCCUG
rnacentral:rRNA from 1 species